UAUAGCAAUUAUAGCCUGGUUCUUUGCACAAUCAUGUUUUAAAUGUUGUAAAAAUUGCACUUAGAAUGAAGGUUCUGGAUGAUCAUGUACUUCAUCCAUAGCUGUAAUCUGGCUUUGCAAACCUUGCUGUCUUCAUUGUGACUUCCUCUGGACUCUUGGCAUUUUUAUGUGCUUUAAAAGACAGAGAACAGUUUGUUACCCUAAUUACAAUUCACAGCAUGUCACUGCACUGUUGCUGGUUCAUGGUGAAGCAGCAAUCCUAAAGCAGCAGCAUCUCUCCUGAAGGACUGCUUGUUCCUAACAGCACUUGAGACUUGUGCCACUGACUGCAUUCUGAUUUUCCAGUUGUCCUGAUUUUACAGUACUAUGUUUGCAUGGAUUUGUGUGGAUUUACCUUAGCAUAAAGGGUGGAAACUCAAAUUUCCAGGCAUCUUGGUUUGUGUCUAAAUACAGAUUGUAAAGCUGCUAUAAAAGCUGCUUUCCCACCAUUUCUGCUUUGUCUGGUGUGACCUGCCCAUGUGGUAAGCCUUACUGCAGCUAUUUAGAGAGCUUUUUAAACACAGAUCAAACUAUUUGAUGUCUUUAUCCUUCAUGAAGCAUCAGAAAUGUGUUGACAGAGGUAGGGUGUAUGGCCUGGGCCAUGCUUGCACCUGCUGACAUCAUGCUUAUGAGCACUCGCAUAUACACCUGCCACUGAGACCUCUUGGCCAUCUGAUGGAUGACUGCUUCUAUAGCAAGAACACCUUCUUGUGUACAGCAGUGGCCUCAGACCUGUUUCACCCAGGCUGUUCCUCCUGGAUGCACUCUGCCAUUUCCUGCAGGAGGGUUCAUAAAGGAUACUGGACAUGAGAGGCAAAUUCCUGAAAAGGAAGAACAACUCAGAGGCUACAGGAAAGUUAAAUUUUGCUGGAAUACUUUAUUAAAGUUGUAUUUUUCACCAGGACUCUUGAGUCAUUCUUUACUGUGCUGGAGACUGGCAUCAACUGGGCACAGGGAAGCCACAUGCAGCACUGACAGAAGUGACAGUCUGGGGAGACUGGCAAAACUGAGUGAGCUGAAUGCUCCUUGUUAGUGCUUCUGAACAGGGAGCUAUGGAAUGACCCAACACAGCUGUAAUUAGCUGAAGAGACAAUUUUGGGUUUGUGGAUGACCAGUUUUGCAGCUUAUAGAUGCACUGCUCUGAGCUCCAAAAUCAUCACAGAGGAGCUGGG